AUCCAGCUGACGAGUUCGAAAUAGGACGAACCGUGCGUACUGGAU
rnacentral:hammerhead_ribozyme from 1 species